rnacentral:lncRNA from 1 species
GAGGAAAAUAUUUAGGAUUAAACCCUAAAAGGAUGGGGAGAAAGUGAUCGGACUAAAACAAAGGGGUGAGGCGGAAGAAUGAGGCAGGAGGGGCGGGAUGGGAAAAUAUUGGGAAUCCACGUUAUUUUGAUAUUGAGAAUUUAAGACCUUUUACCAACAUUUAAUCUUAGGGGCAAUUGCUUAUAUACCCCUGAAAAGUUCCUGACUUUCCGAUUUACCCCUCUUAGAAGGUAAUAUUGAAAAUACUCUUUCUACAUUCCAACCUAUUUCUAAUAUACCUCUAAAGUUAAAAUUUGUUAAUUAACUCUAUUAUCUCUAUAAAAUUACUAUUUUACCCUUUCAAACAUACCUUUCCGCCAUCAAUGACUUUCUUAUUUGCCUUUAAAGUCAGAGGCACAAAAAGUAUUUUGACUUUUGGUCUUUUUCAAUAUACCCCCCUACCGUCACCAACAUUUCUUAUUUGCCCUUAAGUUAAGGACAAAAUUGGUAUUUUAAUUUUUUUUAAUUGUGGUAGAUAUUUAACUCACGUUUAACCCAAGUUAACUUAACAGGAGAUAACUACGGGGGUAUUUUGCAAUAACGGUGGAACAUAUGACGGGUAUUUUAGAAAGAAAAAAAAAGUAAGGGUAAAUCGGAUAUUUUCAAACGUAUGAGGGGUAUAUAGGCAAUUAUCCCUUAAUUUUAAAUGCUGGCAAUUAAAUACUAUUAGUGGCACUAAAAAUAACUACUGAUAUUUAAAUUAUCUUUUAUCGGCAUUUAAA